rnacentral:rRNA from 1 species
GGAAAUGGGGCGGCUACCAUGCAGUCGACGGUAACAGGAAGCAGCUUGCUGCUUCGCUGACGAGUGGCGGACGGGUGAGUAAUGUCUGGGAAACUGCCUGAUGGAGGGGGAUAACUACUGGAAACGGUAGCUAAUACCGCAUAACGUCGCAAGACCAAAGAGGGGGACCUUCGGGCCUCUUGCCAUCGGAUGUGCCCAGAUGGGAUUAGCUAGUAGGUGGGGUAACGGCUCACCUAGGCGACGAUCCCUAGCUGGUCUGAGAGGAUGACCAGCCACACUGGAACUGAGACACGGUCCAGACUCCUACGGGAGGCAGCAGUGGGGAAUAUUGCACAAUGGGCGCAAGCCUGAUGCAGCCAUGCCGCGUGUAUGAAGAAGGCCUUCGGGUUGUAAAGUACUUUCAGCGGGGAGGAAGGUGAUGAGGUUAAUAACCUCAUCGAUUGACGUUACCCGCAGAAGAAGCACCGGCUAACUCCGUGCCAGCACCGCCGGUAAUAA